rnacentral:rRNA from 1 species
ACGGAGGGUGCGAGCGUUGUUCGGAAUUAUUGGGCGUAAAGCGCGUGUAGGCGGUCUUUUAAGUCUGAUGUGAAAGCCCUGGGCUCAACCCAGGAAGUGCAUUGGAAACUGGGAGACUUGAAUACGGGAGAGGGUAGUGGAAUUCCUAGUGUAGGAGUGAAAUCCGUAGAUAUUAGGAGGAACACCGGUGGCGAAGGCGGCUACCUGGACCGAUAUUGACGCUGAGACGCGAAAGCGUGGGGAGCAAACAG